AUGAACGCUGGCGGCGUGCCUAAUACAUGCAAGUCGAGCGAACAGACGAGGAGCUUGCUCCUCUGACGUUAGCGGCGGACGGGUGAGUAACACGUGGAUAACCUACCUAUAAGACUGGGAUAACUUCGGGAAACCGGAGCUAAUACCGGAUAAUAUAUUGAACCGCAUGGUUCAAUAGUGAAAGACGGUUUUGCUGUCACUUAUAGAUGGAUCCGCGCCGCAUUAGCUAGUUGGUAAGGUAACGGCUUACCAAGGCAACGAUGCGUAGCCGACCUGAGAGGGUGAUCGGCCACACUGGAACUGAGACACGGUCCAGACUCCUACGGGAGGCAGCAGUAGGGAAUCUUCCGCAAUGGGCGAAAGCUUGACGGAGCAACCCCGCGUGAGUGAUGAAGGUCUUCGGAUCGUAAAACUCUGUUAUUAGGGAAGAACAAAUGUGUAAGUAACUAUGCACGUCUUGACGGUACCUAAUCAGAAAGCCACGGCUAACUACGUG
rnacentral:rRNA from 1 species